rnacentral:rRNA from 1 species
GAAUGAGUAGCGAGAUAGAGGUGAGAAUCCUCUAGGCCGAAUAUCCAAGGCUUCCAGGGUAAAGCUGAUCUGCCCUGGGUAAGUCGGGGCCUAAGGUGAGGACGAGAGUCGUAGCCGAUGGACAACAGGUGGAGAUUCCUGUACUAUGAUAUGACAGAACUGUGGGGACACGUGCAGAGAGCGGAAGCCGGGAAUGGUAUCCCGGUGCAAGCGAGGUACCAGAUGCGUUGGAAAAACCGCGCAUCAAUGGGAAGACGUGAUGCGGAGUGAAGUUUAGUAAUGAAGUCCGUGAGCUGUGCGUCAAGAAAAGCCGCUAUUGUUCAUACCAUACCCGUACCGUAAACCGACACAGGUGGAUGAGGAGAGAAUCCUAAGGCCGGCGGAAGAAGCAUUGUCAAGGAACUCGGCAAAAUGACCCCGUAACUUCGGGAGAAGGGGUGCCACUGAGAAGUGGCCGCAGAGAAUAGGCUCAAGCAACUGUUUAGCAAAAACACAGGUCUAUGCGAAACCGUAAGGUGAGGUAUAUGGGCUGACGCCUGCCCGGUGCUGGAAGGUUAAGAGGAGAGGUUAGCGGAAACGCGAAGCUUUGAAUUUAAGCCCCAGUAAACGGCGGCCGUAACAAUAACGGUCCUAAGGUAGCGAAAUUCCUUGUCGGGUAAGUUCCGACCCGCACGAAAGGCGUAAUGAUUUGAGCGCUGUCUCGACAAUGCAUCCGGUGAAAUUGAAGUACCAGUGAAGAUGCUGGUUACCUGCGCCAGGACGGAAAGACCCCAUGGAGCUUUACUCCAGUUUGGUACUGGGAUCCGGUACUGCAUGUACAGGAUAGGUGGGAGGCUGAGAAAUGGUAACGCCAGUUGCCAUGGAGCCGCUGUUGGGAUACCACCCUUGCAGUAUUGGGUUUCUAACCAGCCGCCGUGACCCGGCGGUGGGACAAUGCCAGACGGGGAGUUUGACUGGGGCGGUCGCCUCCGAAAGGGUAUCGGAGGCGCCCAAAGGUUCCCUCAGGAUGGACGGAAACCAUCCAAAGAGUGCAAAGGCAGAAGGGAGCUUGACUGCGACACCGACGGGUGGAGCAGGUACGAAAGUAGGGCUUAGUGAUCCGGUGGUAUUAAGUGGGAAUGCCAUCGCUCAACGGAUAAAAGCUACCCCUGGGAUAACAGGCUUAUCACUCCCAAGAGUUCACAUCGACGGAGUGGUUUGGCACCUCGAUGUCGGCUCAUCGCAUCCUGGGGCUGUAGUAGGGCCCAAGGGUUGGGCUGUUCGCCCAUUAAAGCGGUACGCGAGCUGGGUUCAGAACGUCGUGAGACAGUUCGGUCCCUAUCCGGCGUGGGCGUAGGAUAUCUGAGAGGAGCUGUCCUUAGUACGAGAGGACCGGGAUGGACGGGCCGCUGGUGCACCGGUUAGACUGCCAAGUCUAUAGCCGGGUAGCCAAGCCCGGAAGGGAUAAACGCUGAAGGCAUCUAAGCGUGAAGCCCCCCUCAAGAUGAGAUAUCCCAUCCGAAAGGAGUAAACCCCCUUGAAGACGACGAGGUUGAUAGGGCAGGGGUGGAAGUGUGGUAACACAUGGAGCUGACUGCUACUAAUAGGGUGAGGGCUUGACCG